rnacentral:rRNA from 1 species
GGAUUGUAGUCUGNAACCCGACUACAUGAAGCUGGAAUCGCUAGUAAUCGCGGAUCAGAAUGCCGCGGUGAAUACGUUCCCGGGUCUUGUACACACCGCCCGUCACACCAUGGGAGUCGGAAAUGCCCGAAGUCUGUGACCCAACCUUAGGGAGGGAGCAGCCGAAGGCAGGUCGGAUGACUGGGGUGAAGUCGUAACAAGGUACC